UACGAAGGGGGCUAGCGUUGCUCGGAAUCACUGGGCGUAAGCGCACGUAGGCGGAUUGCUAAGUCAGGGUGAAAUCCUGGAGCUCAACUCCAGAACUGCCUUUGAUACUGGCGAUCUUGAGUCCGGGAGAGGUGAGUGGAACUGCGAGUGUAGAGGUGAAAUUCGUAGAUAUUCGCAAGAACACCAGUGGCGGAAGGCGGCUCACUGGCCCGGUACUGACGCUGAGGUGGCGAAAGCGUGGGAGCAACAGG
rnacentral:rRNA from 1 species